GACGAACGCUGGCGGCGUGCUUAACACAUGCAAGUCGAACGGAAGGGCCCUGCUUUUGUGGGGUGCUCGAGUGGCGAACGGGUGAGUAACACGUGAGUAACCUGCCCUUGACUUUGGGAUAACUUCAGGAAACUGGGGCUAAUACCGGAUAGGAGCUCCUGCUGCAUGGUGGGGGGUGGAAAGUUUCGGCGGUUGGGGAUGGACUCGCGGCUUAUCAGCUUGUUGGUGGGGUAGUGGCUUACCAAGGCUUUGACGGGUAGCCGGCCUGAGAGGGUGACCGGCCACAUUGGGACUGAGAUACGGCCCAGACUCCUACGGGAGGCAGCAGUGGGGAAUAUUGCACAAUGGGCGGAAGCCUGAUGCAGCAACGCCGCGUGCGGGAUGCCGGCCUUCGGGUUGUAACCCGAUUUCGCCUGUGACGAAGCGUGAGUGACGGUAAUGGGUAAAGAAGCACCGGCUAACUACGUG
rnacentral:rRNA from 1 species